rnacentral:rRNA from 1 species
GCCAAAUUAAGGUGAAACCGCGAAAGGCUCAUUAAAUCAGUUAUGGUUCCUUAGAUCGUACCCACAAUUACUUGGAUAACUGUGGUAAUUCUAGAGCUAAUACAUGCAAACAGAGCUCCGACCGGAGACGGAAGGAGUGCUUUUAUUAGAUCAAAACCAAUCGGUGGCGGGUUCGCU